UAUUGCACAAUGGACGGAAGUCUGAUGCAGCAACGCCGCGUGAGGGAUGACUGCCUUCGGGUUGUAAACCUCUUUUAGUGGGGAAGAAGCGAAAGUGACGGUACUCACAGAAAAAGCACCGGCUAACUACGUGCCAGCAGCCGCGGUAAUACGUAGGGUGCAAGCGUUGUCCGGAAUUAUUGGGCGUAAAGAGCUCGUAGGCGGCUUGUCGCGUCUGCUGUGAAAACCCGAGGCUCAACCUCGGGCUUGCAGUGGGUACGGGCAGGCUAGAGUGCGGUAGGGGAGAUUGGAAUUCCUGGUGUAGCGGUGGAAUGCGCAGAUAUCAGGAGGAACACCGAUGGCGAAGGCAGAUCUCUGGGCCGCUACUGACGCUGAGGAGCGAAAGCAUGGGGAGC
rnacentral:rRNA from 1 species